GGCUCCGUAUGUGGAUGUGAUCUGUUUGAACAGCUACUACUCUUGGUAUCACGACUACGGGCACCUGGAGUUGAUUCAGCUGCAGCUGGCCACCCAGUUUGAGAACUGGUAUAAGAAGUAUCAGAAGCCCAUUAUUCAGAGCGAGUAUGGAGCAGAAACGAUUGCAGGGUUUCACCAGGAUCCACCUCUGAUGUUCACUGAAGAGUACCAGAAAAGUCUGCUAGAGCAGUACCAUCUGGGUCUGGAUCAAAAACGCAGAAAAUACGUGGUUGGAGAGCUCAUUUGGAAUUUUGCCGAUUUCAUGACUGAACAGUGUAAGUGGCAGUUUGGCUCAUGGGAUAAUGUACCCGUCCUUAUUUUUUCAGGUUGCCUUUCCAAUUUUGGCCAUUUCAAUUGUAAGAAUAUUGGAAACAAAGUUGGGGAAGCUGGUUUAAUCCAUAUAGGUUGUGUUGAGAAUUUUCUAGGAAAAGUAAGUUGUGUUUAGGAAGUAG
rnacentral:sRNA from 1 species